UAGAUAGAUAGAUAGAUAGGCAGAUAGUAGAUAGUAGAUAAGUUGUUCACUGGUAGGUAGUCUCCAAAUCUCCAUGCUUAUGUUUCUUUAGAGGAAAACCCUUAAAACAAGGGUCACUAAAUAUUAUCUGGAAAAAAAAAACAGAUUUGUUCAGGUUUUGUGAGCUAAAAGAUCUUUAUUAUACUUAGCUCUGGCAUAGGAGUAUUCACGGAACCAGUACAAAAGUAAUAGGCAAACUAUGCUCUAAUAAAAUUUUAUUCAUGGACACUCAAAUCUGAAUUUCAGAUAAUGGUCAUAUACCAUGAAAUAAAACUUUUUUUCCUUCAGGCAUCAAAAAUUAUAAAGACUGUGCUUAGCUCCCCAAAAGUCCAACAACAGGUGGUGGGGCUGAUUUGGCCAAGGGACUAUAAUGUGUUAACCUUGGCUUCAAAGUAUUCGGAGAUCAUAUGUAUCACAUACACAUAGAAUGUUUCCCCAAAUUCUAAUCAUUUAAAUUAUCUCUUCAAAAUCCAUUUGAUUGUUUGUUUUUAAAAUGUGUAAAAAUACACGUGAAAUAGCCAUUAUAUCCUGAAACAAUUCAUCAUCUUUUGCUGUGUAAUUCCAGAAUUCUCUUACAGAAACAAGUCAUUUUGUCUGCAUGUGUCAUUUAUCUUUGUUGAGAAUUUUAGAACAGACUGUUUCUUUCUAUGGCCUAAAAAUCAUUUUCUAAGAAAAAUCUGUGCUUAUGAUAGACAGUUAUGAUUGAUAGUUAAUCGAGAUGACUUGAAGUACUCAGAAAAAUAGUGUUGUUUCCGUAUGACCUACAAGGAAAGGGGCCUUGUACCUGUGUGUGGUGAAGGUUUGAUACCCAGCCUUCUUUGUUUGCAGUCGUGACACAUCAUUCUCAAACUUCCUCUGAAUUCUGUGCUAACAACUGCCUUAAUUGAUAAAUAUGUGGUUGGAAAACAAAGUCACCUUUUGGUUUCUGUUUGCAAAUAACUUGGAAAUAUUGAGAAAAUCCUUAUAGACUGGAAGUACACUCCGAGGCUGAGCAAGAGCUCAGAGGAUUGUGGUUGACAGAAAAUAAUUUUAAAUUGGAAAUAAAGUGAAAUCAAGAACUGA